AACGAACGCUGGCGGCAUGCCAAACACAUGCAAGUCGAACGAGACCUUCGGGUCUAGUGGCGCACGGGUGCGUAACGCGUGGGAAUCUACCCUUGGGUUCGGAAUAACAGUUAGAAAUGACUGCUAAUACCGGAUGAUGACGUAAGUCCAAAGAUUUAUCGCCCAAGGAUGAGCCCGCGUAAGAUUAGCUUGUUGGUGGGGUAAUGGCCUACAAAGGCGACGAUCUUUAGCUGGUCUGAGAGGAUGAUCAGCCACACUGGGACUGAGACACGGGCCAGACUCCUACGGGAGGCAGCAGUGGGGAAUAUUGGACAAUGGGCGAAAGCCUGAUCCAGCAAUGCCGCGUGAGUGAUGAAGGCCUUAGGGUUGUAAAGCUCUUUUACCAGGGAUGAUAAUGACAGUACCUGGAGAAUAAGCUCCGGCUAACUCCGUGCCAGCCGCCGCCGUAA
rnacentral:rRNA from 1 species